CAGCGUUUACCGGGGUGUCCUUUCAAAAAAGAAGGUCUGAGAUCAUACCCGUAGAACCUGAUCAGGGUAAUGCCUGCGCAGGGAGCUUAACAGUUUCAAGUU
rnacentral:ncRNA from 1 species